GGGUUCGUAGCUCAGCCAGGCAGAGCGUCUGGCUCUUAACCAGUCAGCAGAAGGGAGGGGUUUUUUCUGGGUUAAAAUGUCGUGGGUCCGAAUCCCACCGAACCCG
rnacentral:tRNA from 1 species